AACGAGCGAGAUCCCUGCCUCUAGUUGCCACCAUUACUCUCAGGAGUAGUGGGGCGAAUUAGCGGGACCGCCGUAGUUAAUACGGAGGAAGGAAGGGGCCACGGCAGGUCAGUAUGCCCCGAAACUCUGGGGCCACACGCGGGCUGCAAUGGUAACGACAAUGGGUUUCGAAUCCGAAAGGAUGAGGUAAUCCUCAAACGUUACCACAGUUAUGACUGAGGGCUGCAACUCGCCCUCACGAAUAUGGAAUCCCUAGUAACUGCGUGUCAUUAUCGCGCGGUGAAUACGUCCCUGCUCCUU
rnacentral:rRNA from 1 species